CCUGGAGGGGGGCGCUGGGUGUGGGGCGGCUCCAGGGCCGGGGAUGGCGGUUGCUGUGGCUCCAGGACGAUCGGGAGGAGCCCAGGGAGCGCUGUGAGAUGGGCCGACUCCCAGAUCAGCCGGGAGCACGCUUACCACAGCUGCUUGGAAGUACCAGCAGUUCAGGUAAGCAAGUGCCUUUCAAGAGUGAUGAACUGCUGUGGUGCACCAUGUAAUCCCAGCACUUGGGAGUCAGAGGGUUUUCCACCAUGAAGACACAGGACUGCCCCAGGGAAAGUUGCUAUUUUGCCUAAGAAACACUGCAGUAAAGGAUUAGCAGCUCUCCUGUCAUGCUUCUUGUAGGAGUCCUCAGGAAACAGUAUAGUGAGAAAGUGACACCUCAAGUAACAUUUUGACACAUUUGCAGGCAUAGUCUCAUACACCUUAAAAAGUAAGCUUUCAAUUUGUAAAGGUGGCUAUUCUACCUGGAAAGAAAUGGGGAGUUUUAGCAAGGAGAGCUGAGAGUAGUGGGUGCAGAGUCGUAGGAGUGGAAAAGGAAAGUGGGUAUAAUGAGGGCUGUGUCUGAGGGGCAGGUUCUGGUGCUGUGGAAGAAGAGGCUUUGUCAAGACUGACAUAUGGAUGAGAAGCAUCAGGGCUGAUUAGGAGGGUAGGGCAUUCCAGGACUCAGGAGCCAUUUGAGCUGGGCAUGGUGGUACACUCCUAUAAUCCUAGCCCUUGGAAGGUUGAGGCAGGAGGAUCACCAUGAGCUGGAGGUCAGCUUAGUCUACACAGUAUGUUCAAGGCCAGCCUGCCUAGCCUACAUAAUGAGAUUCUGUCUCAAAAAAACAUUUUUUUUUAAAAGCCAUUUUUCACUUGCCUCAUGCUCUACUAGUUUGUUCCCACCAACAGGCUGCUCUGCAUUCUCUAAGUCUUUUUCCACUUUGACCACCCCGCCAUCUUCCUCUGAUGUGUGGGAAGAGACUUCAUCUUGUGUGGUCUCCUCUUCAUCACCCUCACUGUCACCUGGAACAUACAAACUGGUCAUUUGUUCUGAGUUUUGCAGGAAUACGUCCUGAACUGCUAUCCACCCUGCAGUUUGCAGCUAUAAUGAAAAACAUUUUCAGAUCUUCCAUAAUAUAGUUUAAAUUUGUGUCUAGUUGGGCACAAAUCAUGUGAAGUGUAAAGCAGCUAUCACUGUUAUGCCAUAUACACACAAAUGAAAAAAAUGGAGACAGAAUGGAGACUACAUUGGAAAAUGGCUACUGGGUCCUCUACAUUAUCACAAAAAUUAUCCUUGAGUGAAUAGUUCUCAAAUAUCUCACACUUCAAAUCAUACCUCUCAAGUACCUUAUAACAGGCUGUUUCCCACAACAUGCAACUUCUGACUUACCAUCAUUUCUUGCUGAUAUUUUACUUACUUUUCCCCAAAAUCUCUGCAUAAUUUCUCCAUGGUGUCACAGACUAUUUUAUCCUGAGCUCCACUAAUAUGUUUUCCCCCAACAAAUCUUAAGGAAACACCAGUAAGUCUUUCUUCCCUUAUCAAUAAAAAGGCAGUACUAAAAAUGAUGUCACUCUAAAGUCUGUUCAUUAAAGUAGAAAACUUAGCACAGCAACCUCAAGCACUUUGUUGUGGUAUCUAGCUCUGUUUUUAUUCCACUAGUGAUGCAGCAUUCAAAACUCAAUAUAUAUAUAUAUUUUUUUGGUGCGACACUCUCGCUAUGUAGUUCAGGCUGGUCUUGAACUCUCAGUGAUCUUCCUGCCUCAGCUUCAGUGCUAGGAUUAUGGGAAUGUAGCACCACCACACCCAGCUCAAUAUUUCUACUGUCUCUAUUGUUUCUUUGCAUUAACUAAAUGCAUUAAGUAGAAAGAAUGGGUUUUUCUUCACUUUAGAAUUUAAUGCUAUUGGGUCUGGGGGUUUAGCUCAGUGGCAUAAGCACCUGCCUUACAAGCAGGUGGUUGUGAGUUCGAUCCCCGGUACCAAUAAAAAUGAAAAAGACAAAAAAAAAAAAAAAAAAAAAAAAAAAAGAAUUUAAUGCUAUUUCUUGUGAUUUAAGUAGAAUUGAGUUUUAGUUUUGGUGACAGGAUGUGGCUGGUUUGCAUGAGCUGAUGGUUUUUUUCUCUAUUAUUUAUAAAACGGUAAAAAAAAUUAAAAAAAAACUUUACUGCAUAAUAACAAAUGGAGUUCUUUCUAAAAGGAAAAAACUAGCACCCUAACAAUCACAAGAGGAAGCCAAACCUAUGGAAGCUGUCAGAAUUCAUCCCUAUCCCAACUUCACCCAGAUCCUGGACUCCUGGAUCUGAUGUAAGUAAAGAGACAUACAUGGUAGAGUUUUUAGGUUCUUUGCAUCCACAGUGAGAUUCAGAUUUUCUCAUUAAUAGUGCUGCUUGUCUUCUCUCUACUAUCCUUUGCGUAAUUUCAAAUUCACUAAUAUCUGAACAAAACAUUAUAUUUCUCUUUCUCCAUGAGAAAGUCCCACCAUUCAUUAUAGUUGUUAUGAUCUACUCUGAGGGCUGUGGUGUAGGAAGAUCUAGAGUAUACCAUUUUAUAUACUGCAUAAUCUUAUCACUAAGCAAAUCUUGUGUAACAUUAAAACUAUGCCCUCCAGCAAAAAUUCACCAAUGCCACUCGUUUUAUUAAUUGUGAAUAAAUAGAUCCUGGGAGAUAGAGAUUUUUUUUUCAUUUGACCUAAUCCAGGGACCACACAAGCAUUGAUUAUCCUAUGUUUCUAUUGCAACCAUUGCGAACUUCCAGUGUAAGGCACUGUUGUACAGAGUAUUGUAGUCCAUGAGUUAAAGAAAAUAUAAUGCCAAACCUGAUUUUUCUCUUUCUUCCUCUGAAUAAGCAUAAGUUCACAUCUUAGAGCACUUGCGGGAACACUCAAAAUCUACAUACUUGCUUCUCUGUGUCUUCCUCCCAACCCCCAUGCACAAUCCCAGAGCACACACUCUGAUAAUUCUUCUCCCAUUGCCCUGAGUCAUUACCAGAAGGUGCAGAACUCACUGCUACUGGAGUCCUGAUCUCUUAGUUGUUGGAUAGCUUGUCGCUGACUGCCAAGGUCUCCAGGAAAAUCAGUUUUCAUCAUCGCCUGGCGGGCUUGCUCUUCUAGCCCAGCAAAUACUUGAUCCCCUGGUGGUCACAAGGAAAAAUAGUCAGGCCACCAGCUGGGAAGCAUAUCCCCAGGCAAGCUCAUUGGAAGGUCAGACCAUUCAAAGGUAGGAGACAGGCAGGUACCCUGUGGUAAGGUCAUUCAUCUCUAAGUCAGCUUGCUUUUCUCCAACAGCUUCUGUACAUAGCUGCUCUUCCUGGGCAGUAAGCCAGAUGCACUAGAAAACAUCACUUCUCUUAAAUGUUCUUAUUUCUGAGUCUGUUCAAAAGGUGAACAACUGCUACUUUAUGAAUUUAAUUGCAGGCUCUCAGUUCCAUUUACAAUUUCCAUCAGGAUUGAGGAACAGAGGCAAAAUGAAGGGAUGGAUAACCGGGCAACAAAUCUGGACAAAAUCCCUAUUCCUUAAGUUACUAGCAUUAUCUUGAACUGCAAACAAGUGCUUCAAAUAAUCCUUCUAAAUAAAUUUCAUCUUCAUCCCAUCUCAUUUUUCAUCCACUGUCUUUUCUAGAUAUGCUCUGAAAGUUCUUCCUUUACUUUCUUUUUAAUGCCUAUCAGAAUUUGCAUGAGAAAACCAACUGUUGAAAAUUGGACAAAGAGAACAAAUAACAUACAAACUCAUUUCUUCUGUUUUUCCUGAAAACACAUCAACUAAUUUAUACCAAACAAUAUUUACUGUAUAUAGUCUCCUUGGGACGGUGUGCCCUUGCCCCCUUUCGGGACCCAAAGCCCUGGUCACAUCUUUGAUUUUGCAUUUACUUCUGAUGAACUUUGCCUGGGAUCCAUGUAGUUACUGAAGAGUUAACAUUUAAAUGCCCUUUUAUUUCCAGGAUACCAGGCAUAAGGAGAAGAGUUGGGUUUCUCCAGGUUUCCAUUAUCUCAAAGGGAAAACUAUAGUCCCCAUUACCCAGCCAGCAAGAAGCUUAAUAAAAAGCCCUCAUGACAUGUUUGACAAUAGAGUAGGCCCUUUAAAAAGGCUCAGGUUCUGAGCUAGAAUACAAUGAUGUAGGAAAAAUGAAUUGGUGAGGUGAUCUGUACUGCUAGUCCUUGGGCAGCGAAAAAAUACUGUAGUUCAGGCUGGCUCUGAACUCACUAUGUAGCUCAAGUUGGCCUAAAAUUCAUGGCAGUCCUGCCUCAGCUUCCCAAGUGUUGGGAUUACGGUGUGCCUGGCUGGUAGUGAAAAAUACUGAGGUGGGAGUAUGUUUCAUGUAACUUACUUGGUCUUUUGUUCAGCAAAUAUUCAUUGAAUGUCUACCAUACAUUAAAUGUUGAAUAUGAACUAUAAUUACUAUGCUAGUUCCAAGCUCUACACUACAUGCAUUAUAGUCGUUACACUACUGCUCUUACUUCUUAGUAUUACCACUUACAUAUAAUUUACUAUGGAGAAAAUAAGAUCUAUUUGGAACCAACCAUCUAAACCUAAGUCUGACCAACUAUAACAUCUUUUUUUCCCAACACUUGGGAUUGAACUCAGGGCCUUUGCACUGAGCUACGUCCAUAGCCCAUUUAUAUUUUAAGACAGAGUCUUUAAAACUUUUUUUUUGUCUUUUUCGUUUUUAUCGAUACCAGGGAUCGGACUCACAACUGUCUGCUCGCAAGGCAGGCACUUAUGCCGCUAAGCUAAAUCCCCAGCCCCUAAGACAGAGUCUUGAUAAGUUACUAAGUUGUUCAGCUCAGUUCAUACUUGUGGUCCUCCUGCUAAGGUGCUGAUAUCAUAGCUUGUUCCACCAUGCCUGGCUCUAAUGUCUUUCUUUUUUUGGUGCUGAGCUUGAAUCCAGGGCCUUGCAUAUGUUACAAAUGCACUCUUAUCACUGAGCUAUACCCUUACCCACUAAGGUCCAUAGUUUUUAAGUUUAAAGUUUAAGUUUUAAGUUUUCUAGUAGAGCUAAGAGUUCAAGAUUAAAACAAUCAUCGAAGUGGUUUUGCUAAUAACAAAUGUUUCUCUCUCUGUGGGAAAAAUGGAUCUUAGCUUGGUACUGGUGUUAUCCUUGUACCAUAAGAAACUUACACACAACUUAAAUAUCAAAAUAGUGUUCUGAAGGCCAGUAUAUGACAAAAGGAAAAAUGAUGGUUCUCAAACCACAUCAUGAAUUACCAUGCCUGGAUUAGAGUAACUCACAUUGUGGCAACUAUGACUCACCCUGUGGGUGGGAACGGAGGUGGAGAGUGUUAAAGUAUACUCCUAGCUACACAGCCCUCAAGUAAAGGAAAAAUAAGUUGUUGAAAGUCAUCUUCACAGUAUCUAAGGUGACACAUUAGAUAUAAAUUACUCCUAGAGAAGCAAAAAAUGAGUUCUGUGCUGAGUGCUUUCUUAUAUUUCUCUGCAGAAGUAAAAUAUUUAAUUUCUCCGUGUUGGUUUCACUGAAACCCUAAGAUCACAGCCAACCAGGAUAGUUUUUCAAUUCUUCUAGGUAUGUAUGUUUUUGGACCAAACGGUCAUGAGCAGACAUGGCACGAAGGAAAAAGUUAUAUGCUAUAGUAUAAUUAUCAAAGGCAGACCAUCCUUGUCAGUGAUACUUUUAGUCUCUAAAGAAACCUAGGUGGAAACCAGUGAGGUUUUUAACGUGCCAAGAAUGAACAAUACUAUUUUCCCUUUUGUACUGGGGAAUCACCACUGGAUUAGCAGAAAGGCAUCUAAAAGGAUAUGUACCUUUCAAGAUGAGUCAGUAACUGCUUAGUCUUUAUCAACCCAAACUCAAAAUUUAUUUUUGUCUACUGAUGUUGCUUAAAUAUAAUUUGUCUAUCUAACACUUGCUGGCAAUCUCACCUGUGAUAACUGAGAUAGAUUAAUUCUGUCAUUCCUUUUUGGCAGUUUAUGCUCUUUUAUUCUAUUCCUGAUUGGGAAAAAUAGCUAAGCUUAAAGUUUUUCCUCAAGGCUAUUCCUGUUUUAAGGACCACUAUAAAACAAAAUAUAUGAAACCUUGAAAAAGAAGCAGUUCUAGGAGACACCUUAAGAAAAGGGAAGUGAGUCACCUUUUGGUAGUCACUUUUAGCAAGCUUUUGAAGUUGCUUGUCCAGGAUUAGCCUUCUCAUAAGAAGUAGAACUUACUAAAGUUGUGUCACAUUAUCUCAGGAAUAAUGUGAUCCACAGAAAUACCAAUUAUUAAGGUGUUACAAGGGCUGGGGAUAUGGCUUGUCUGGCAAUAUGAGGUCGUGAGUUCGAUUUCCGGCUCAAAAAAAAAGAUAUUUGCUUAAAGUGUUAUAGUAUUAGCUAGCUAUGGUGGUACAUGCCUGUUACCCCAGCAGCCUGGGAGGCUGAGAUAGGAAAAUCACCUACCUUGAGUGACUUAGCAAGAUCCCAUCUCAAAAUAAAUAUAAAAAGGUAUAAAAAAAAUCAUCUGGUCCCUAGACACUAAGGUAGGGUAAUUAGCUCAGUGUAAAGGUCUUGGGUUCAAUCCUCAGUCACACACAGAUAGUGUUAUAAAAUUGCCUGUUUUUAUAAUGUAAAAUUAUUUCUAUUUUGAGACAGUUGGAGGUUUAAAAAAAUCAUCUGGUCCCUAGACACUAAUGUAGGGUAAUUAUCUUAUUAAAUAUGGGCAUUUGUCUAUUAAUAAUUGGGCUCCACUACAAAAAGGUACUACAUCUACUUUUUUUGGUACAAAAAUCGAAACACUGUUUUGUCUUUGAUUUGGCUUAGGUUUUUCAGAUCAUAUAAGAAUGAGCCCAUGGGGCCUGGGGAUUUAGCUCAGCAGCAUAAGCGCCUGCCUUGCAAGCAGGCAGUUGUGAGUUCAAUCCCCAGUACCGAUAAAAAGGAAAAAGACAAAAAAAAAAAAAAAAAAAAAAAAAAGAAUUUCUCUUUCUUGGAUCCUUAGUACAGUUAACAAAUGCAAUUUCAGACUGAUUAAAAUUAAAUAAAGCAGUGAAAACAUAUUCUCUAAGGGAGCAGAUGUCAAGGUCAGAAAAAAAGGAGCUAGUGGAAGUGAGGAGCUUAGGAUUCCAUUUGGAGCUGACAGUUGUAACCCAGGUGGUAUCACAUGUUGGGAACACAGCCAUUACCUUACAAGAAUGCCAAACAGAAUGAAUGAAGACAAAAGAACUUGUGCUUUUUAGAAGUGAAAGGAAUGUACAGGCUUUUAUUCCUUCUCUUAAGAAAAGCUUUUAGUUGAAGUUUUCUAGUCUUUCAUGUAUCUUAAGAUUUCUUUUCUUAGUGGUUUAUUUGGUUCAAACUCCCUACAUUUGAGCACUAUAAAAGACUCUGCUUUCGGCCUUUCUAGAAGUGACAGGAUCUGUACUCAGAAAGGGGUGAGAUGGAGGCAAAAAUGGAAAAGGUAUAAAACAGCAAUGCAGCAACAGUGUCUCCAUGACUAACAAUUCUGAACUUUUAUUGCAACUGAGUCUAUUAAUGAAGCAAGUGGGCAAAAGAUAAAAAGAGUUUGUGUGAAUAUUUUUGAGGAAAGAAUCAUUCCAGCAUAUGAUAUAAAAAGUCUUCAGGAAAACCAAAUAACUGCCAAACCAGCCUCUCAAUCUAGAGUAGAUCUGACACAUGUUGCUGGGCCAUGGCCGUGGGAUUCUUAAUAUAUCCUUUUAGGCGUGCUUUUAGCAUCAUGCCACAUAAUCUUCUUUCCAGAAGGCAGAUGUAAUGAAGCUCAGCCAUUAUUCUGCUCAAGUGCUGGUUGGUUUUGACUUUUAAGCAAAGCUUCUGCAGACUUUCCUGCUUUCCAGAGCUUUAGUCCACUCCAUUUACUUUAAAUAGACAAACAGCAUUAAGUUCAAUACAUGAUUGGCUCCAUUUCACUGCAAGGUGCAUAGGAGCCUCAAAUUUUCAGAAAAUUAAAAUUACCUACUACUUCUGCUUGCCAUUAUUGUCAUGGGUAAUGAGAAGAUGAUCUUUCAAAAAGGGUGGGGUCAAGCUAAGCGUGGUGGCACAUGCCUGUAAUCUAGCAUUUAAGGACAAUGAAGCAGGAGGAUCAUUGCAAAUUUGAGGCCAACCCGGGCUACAUAGUGAAUUCAAGGCCAGCCUGAACUACAUGUUAUUUUCAUUAGUCAAGUUUAGUCCAUCACCUGAACAGCCUUCACAGCUCCUUGCCCAGAUGUAUCACUUAAAACAGCCCCUUCUUGGGGCUUACUUUUCAGUUGCUGUGGGAUACUUGUGUUUCUAGCCCCACAGUAAAGACUUGCUUAAUAAACAGCCUGUGAAGUCCCACCCAUUCUACAAACAGUACAACAUGCACUUGCUUGACUCUGGAAAUAGAUUUCUGUAGCUGUGAAUGUGUGGUAUUUUCUCCUUCUUCAUGGCCUGUUUGAUUUUGUUUUCCAACUCCAACACCAACAGCAGUUCAUCUUGCCUUUGACUAAUUAGGGUGAGAGGAGAUGCAACUGAUGGAUAUACGCUAUGUGGAUGUAAGCACAGGCCAACAAGCCUUUGCUGGUUCCUCUGGCCUUAAUACAACUAUGCCAUCACCUCCUCCAGCUACUUUUCCCAAAUCUAAUCAGACUCUGUACAAGUAGCUUUAAGAAAUGAAUACUCGGGGCUGGGGAUUUAGCUCAGCGGCAUAAGCACCUGCCUUGCUAGCAGGCGGUCGUGAGUUUGAUCCCCGGUACUGAUAAAAAUGAAAAAGACAAAAAAAAAAAAAAAAAAGAAAGAAAGAAAAGAAAUGAAUACUCAACUCCUUUAAUUGCCUUAUUUGUAAACCCAUCAUUUCUAUGAAGGGUAUCUUUCCUGCUCUGUCUUCUUGUGGUCUGUAUUUAUAUCUUUUUAAUCUCUGACCACAGAAGGGAAGACAAUCCUCUUGAACCUGUGUUCGAUGACUUACUGUAGACACACUUAACUUUAUCUCCCUUCACAAGUUUCACAUUGAGGCACAUUGCAUCUCAAGUGUUUUAGCACUUACUUCUAAAUCUUCAUAAAUCACUUACCUUUAUAUUAAGCUGUCUUGCAUAUCUACUUAUUCUAGAAAUACACUUUUUUUUGGAGACAUGGUCUUAUGCUGUAAUUCAGACUGGCCUUGAACUCUUGGUGACCCUCCUACCUCAGCCUCCUGAGUGCUAGGAUUAUAGAUGUGUGCUACAGUAUCUGCCCAGAAUACAUCUUGAAGCAUCUAACUGGUCUCAUCUUAUAGAACCUUCCCAGGACUUACAAAGAAUAAUAUAUGUGAAGACUGCUACCCUAGUCUCAUUAAUUUAUAAAAAGUCAAAGUCAUCUUAAUUCCUUUGUAUAAAAUAUUUUCUUUUCUGCUCUUAAAAUUACUGAAAAGAAGAGUUAUCACAGUGCUUGGCAUAUAAUAUGUUUUUAAUAAACUUUAAUUAAUUCCUUGGCUAAACUAUCCUCUCAAAUGCAGUGUUUUUGGUUUUUUGUUUAACCUUAAAACAAAAUCUUGCACGUUAUGCCUUUGAAUUUUCUUCAAAGAUUGUUGCACUUUACUUUUUUUUUUUGGUCUUUUUCCUUUUUAUUGGUACCGGGGAUCAAACUCACGACUGCCUGCUUCCAAGGCAGGUGCUUAUGCCGGUGAGCUAAAUCCCCAGCCCCUGUUGCACUUUACUUAAACAGUCUGCCAUAAAGGUAACUAUUUGUCUCCUGUAUGAUCAUUUGUCUAAGAAUGCUUAUCCCCCCAGAUCGUAAAAAAAUGGUUAUCUCGGAUCCACAUAGAUGUUACCGUUAAUUUUAAAGGGCAUUUUUGGAGCACCAUCUAUGAGCAGUGCCAAAAGUAGAGAGAUACACAGCACAUAAUCUCUGUUCCUUAGAAGUUCAGACUAGAAUAUGUACAUAUGAAACUGCUGAGAAACAAUACAGAGCAACAGUGCAUGCCUGUCUUCCUGUUCUAGCGUCCCUCAUGUGAUCCAUCCCACACACUGCUUCAUAUUACCAAAACUACAUUCUGAAUGUCACUCUUCUUUCUCUGUUCAAAAACCUUUGGUAGCUCUCUAAUCCACAAAAUGAAGUUUGCAUGUGGUCCAACAUUCAGGCCUCCAAAAUGUAGAAUUAAACAUCUCAAUUUUAUGUGUUAUGACUUCUGAAACUUCUGUUUUAUACAAAGUCUCCUCGCCCUCUGAACAUGCCAUGUGUGUUCCCUCUUGUAACUAGUCAUCAUUUUCCCACAUGAUUUUGCCUCUCCUUUUUCUCUCUCUUUUAUUCCACUCCACUUUCUAGUCUCUACAAUCCAAUUCAAGUUCAUGAUAGGGCCUCUUCCAUCAUGCAUUCUCUUGGUAUCUCAGUGCACAGAAUUCUUAAAUUUCUAAUCUCUUAAUAUCUGUAGCACAUACAGCCUGUAACAUCCUUAUUUGGCACUUAGCAUAUACUAUCUUGUAUGUGCAUGUGUAUCUGAGGCUACAUUACAGUUUUAUCUAUUUUGUUUUACAGCCUUAAUAUCUGCCAAAGUGCUUUGCAUAGGUAGGUAACCUAUAACUAUUACUGUGGAUUAAGGAUGAAUCAAAUGCACAAAUCCCUAAGACAGAUAUGUCUCCCUGUUUUACUCUAGUAACCACAUACACUUUAAGUCUGUGCAUCUAAUUUUUUUUUGGUCUUUUUGAGACAGGGUUCCACUAUGUAGUUCAGGCUGGUCUUGAGCUCACUUUGUCACCCAGGCUGGCCUCAAACUCACAGCAAUACUCCCUGAGUGCUAGGAUUAUAGGCGCGCAACACCACAAUUGGUAUCUCCAUAUAUCUAAAACUUUUAACACUUUCUUCUUUAAACAUUAGUGUAUGUCUUUCACCCUAAUUCAGGUUACUCUCUCAUUCUAUCCUUUAACAUUCUCAGAUUCCAGAAGGCAAGGCUCAGUACUCACAGUGAACUUUAUUUGGAUUUGUCUGUUUCCGGCGGGACAUGUUUUCCUGAUCUGAGAACUCUGACCUUUCCCAGCUUCACGACUGGAUAUGUUACUACCUUCUUGCAAGGUGCUAACC